AGACAGGGCACUGUCUGUGGCCCCAGGGGUUGAGGACCCCUGGCUUUAACAACAGAAAGACCCCAGUUACUGGAUUGGGAUCCACCCUCACUCAAUAUGGCCUCAGCUUAAUGAAAGACAUCUGCAGAGACCCUAUUUCUACUAAAAGCCACAUUCUGAGACUUCUCGUGGGCGUGAGUUUUUGAGAGACACUGUUCUGCUCCAUGCAGGGAGGGAAUUGGGAUCUGAAGACGUUGCAUUCGAGGUCUCGGGGCUCCUGAUGAGCAGCCUCGGCCUGACCUGGGGCAGGUGUGAUGUCUGCGGCUCACCAUCUCCACCCUGCCUGCUGUGGAAUCUCCACAACGACAGGUGCUUUGGAGGCCAGAGUGCAUGCGUACGGGCCCUGCACACGCUGAAUGUCACUGGGAACAAGGACACACCCCGCUUCCAGGAGAAGAUAGAACAUGUCGACCCCUUUUACCAUAUGACACAUUAUCAGACCAAACCAGAGCUCUUGGUUUUCGGAUCUGGGGAUGAAUUCUUUAGCACAGAUGGAACCAUGAACUUCUAUGAUCAACUGCCAGGAAGGAAAUACCUCAGAGCCAUCCCCAGUGCAGGACAUGCUAUUGACUUCCAUGAGACAAACACCUACUUGGAAAUCAGGUUUUUUCUGUACCUUUUGAAGGAGCAGGAAUUUCCCAGCAUUUCCUGGACAAAGACGGAGAUUCUUUCCACUGAGGAGGCAAGGAUGGAGUUGCUGCUGACCCGUGCAGAUUUGCUGCUGGUAACAUACUCAUGGGCAAAGUCUGAAAAACCUCUUCCUGCCCUGGGCAAGGCAGAUGGGGCAGCCCAGCAGGCUGGCUUUGCCCACCGUCUCCGAUAUCAUCCAACACAGUCAGCCAGGCCACAUUCGCUGCAUCCUUUCCAGCAAGAUGUCAUUCUGAGAUUUUUGUCAUUCCUGGGCGUUAUGAGGACUGCCAAGGGACACAAUUCCAUGGGAGGAAAGUUUUCUUCUAAGCUGCAAGCCAGCUCUGGCUUCUGGAGUUUCUCCUUAGGAUUGCAAGACAGUAGUUCCCUGUCCUUUAGGUCUUCUCCAGAAAUACC
ensembl:lncRNA SCAT1 S-phase cancer associated transcript 1